rnacentral:rRNA from 1 species
UACAGGGGGGGGCAAGCGUUGUUCGGAAUUACUGGGCGUAAAGGGUUCGUAGGUGGCCACUUAAGUCAGACGUGAAAUCCCUCAGCUUAACUGGGGAACUGCGUCUGAUACUGAGUGGCUUGAGUGCAGGAGAGGAAUGCGGAAUUCCAGGUGUAGCGGUGAAAUGCGUAGAUAUCUGGAGGAACACCGGUGGCGAAGGCGGCAUCCUGGACCGGCAUUGACGCUGAGGCGCGAAAGCCAGGGGAGCAAACGGG